AUUGAACGCUGGCAGCAGGCCUAACACAUGCAAGUCGAGCGAGCGGCGGACGGGUGAGUAAUGUAUGGGGACUGCCCGAUAGAGGGGGAUAACGACUGGAAACGGUAGCUAAUACCGCAUACUAUCGGAUAACCCAUAUGGGAUUAGCUAGUUGGUGGGGUAAUGGCUCACAAAGGCGACGAUCCCUAGCUGGUCUGAGAGGAUGAUCAGCCACACGGGAACUGAGACACGGCCCAGACUCGUACGGAGGCAGCAGUGGGGAAUAUUGAACAAUGGGCGCAAGCCUGAUGCAGCCAUGCCGCGUGUGGGAAGAAGGACUUCGGGUUGUAAAGCACUUUCAGCGAGGAGGCGUUACUCGCAGAAGAAGCACCGGCUAACUCCGUGCCAGCAGCCGCGGUAAUAC
rnacentral:rRNA from 1 species